UUUAGAUGAUAUUUUUUCAAGUCUGUAUGAUAAGGUUGAUCAAGUGUACAAUGUUCACCCGGCAUUGAAUUCUUCGGAUGAUGAACAAAAGUCAGCUAAACUUGAUCCAGAUAGUGUCAUUGUGCUUGAUGACAGCGAAUUUGAUGAAAUACAGUGGGAAUUCCAGGAGGCUUCAGUAACAAAAAAUGGCGAUCAGGAUUCUGCAUUACGG
rnacentral:misc_RNA from 1 species